CUCCCUGCUUCCGCUGGUCACGCGGGAGGCGGCCAGGCUGCGCGGGAAAGACCGGUGGGCGGGUGCUGCGGAGACCUGGCUGUCCCGGUGCACUCUCAGGCCCCAGCCGCCGCGCCGUGUCCCCGGACGCUCCGUGGGCGGGCCGGGAUAAAAAUGAAUGAAUACUUCUAUCCUGCUCGCGGCCCACCGCUGCCUCCGCCUGGGCGGUGCCCGCGCCCCGGCCGCGCCCUGGGCGGAGGCGGCCUGCUGGGUCCGGCGGGCCGGCCAGGAUCGUUCUGCUCCCCAGUAGGGCCGGUGGCCCGAGCCCAGAGCUUCAGGCAUCCGUGCGCACUGGCCGACCCCACCCCGGCCUCGGGUUUUCAAGGUUCGGGAGAUGCCCUGGCGUUAAAUUCGCGCGCAUCCAGUGACCGCCCUCCCCGCCGCCAGGCCUUUAAAAGGCAGGCAGGCCACGUGUUAACAAGGCUCAGUAGAUCCCGAAAGGGCAAUGUGGAGAAAAGCAAUCACUAAAGGACGUGAUGCUGGCUUUAUGUACUUCAACACUAUUAUGUAAUCCUACAGAGAGGUUUUACAUGUAAUAUAAUGCCAUUUGCGCGCAAAUAUGUGUGUGUGUGUGUAUGUAUGUGUAUAUAUAUGUACACACACAUAUAUAUGCAAACAAUUACAUUAGUUUUUGGGCUAUGUGUGCGUAAGUUUUUUGGCUGCAAGGGUAUAGACCAUAUCCAAGAGAAUAGAAAGGGAUGGGAUGGGAUGGGGAGAGAUCAAAAAACACUAAUUUUACCUUAAGUUAUAUUUCUUUUUUUCCAAAAGUAAUUGAAGCAAAAAUUUACACUUGCUACUGUGUGCUUCUGGGUGGAAGAGUACCAGGGGCACCCUGCCACACAAGUCAUGGAAAAUAGGUCAAGCCAGGAGCUCUAGUACCCAUCCUGUUACAUGGUGCUCCCAGGUGGCUGGUUUGUUUGCCCAAGAAGAAUUUGCAAAGGUCGUCAUCAUAGAGGCUUGUCAUUUACUUUCCCACACUAGGACAAAUGAAGACCCUAUUCGUCAUGACAUUCAAAGUACCCAGCACAGUACCUGACACAAAUAUCUGUUGAAUUAUUAAGCACAUUACUCUUAACUCUUUCUGAAUACAUAAAGAAUAACCAGAAACAGCAACAAUAUUUAUAUUCUAAUAAAAUAAUGUGAUUUAAAUAUA